AUGGAUUUAGAACCUGCUCCAGAAAGAAAACAAACUCCCUCGCUUGACACACAAAUUGUUUACGAUUCAUUAAAAAGCAAAAUUGCAUAUCCCAGUGCUGGCAGCUGAGUCCAUAUGGGUGCAAGGGGUAUUCACUCAUCUCUUUGUAUGCUGGCAGUACCAAACCGAAGUUUAGCACUGUGCAGCUGAGAUUUUGUGCAGCCAGACGAUGCAUGAGCAAACUUUUCCUCUCACUGGAAGAAUUCACGCUUGCCACAAGAAUAAUAAUUACAGAAAACUAAAAAUGCGCUGCUAACGAAUUAAUCCCUAACGGACAACACGCUAACGAGGGCAGUAAUGAUUUGAGGACUCUCUUCCUCGCAACAGGACUUGGCAUCUUCUGCUACAAUGGGCUAUUGUGCAUCCUCCUAACUCACUAUACCUCUUAUAGAUUCAAGAUGUCAAAGGUUGUCUGGCCCGGCUGACCAUGACAUGCUAGUUAACUCGUUCUACGGAGCACGUUGGGACUUUAUUGAAACUUUAAUUGCGCCCAAAAGCAGCUAGAGCCAGACUAUGUGGGAUCUGUAACACAUGGCUCCAGGUCAGCACAGCCCGGGAACCUGUUCUAACACAAACAAGCGGAGGGAAAAGUUAGAUCGGGGUCUCGGCUGAAAGGCAGCACCUCGCAAACCGCGCUCCUCUCACACGUGAUGAUUUUACACCACGCCACGACCGCACCGUCCCAGGCUUUUACAGUGAGCGACUCGCCGGGUAACGGACUGAACUUUCCACCUCCCCUCUCUACAAAAUAUUGCAUGGUAAAAAAUGCACGCGCACACGGACACUGGGAAGCAGCAGAUAAAGUAAAACAAACUGAGCGCUAGGCAGCCGACUGAGACAAGUUACUCUGCACAACAAGGCUUUUUCAAACUACUUCUUUGCAUACUUUUUUUUUUUUUUUUCCCUUAAGGAGAAUUGAAAAAGCUUCCCUCUGGAAACUGUAGUGCACAUUAACGAUCUCCUGUUACACAGGGGAAAGCACACAAGUGGGGCAAGUGUGAGGCUGCUCUACUGAAGAGUGUGAAAAAAAUCAAAUGUUAAUUUGAUAAAUGUGAGGUCUGGGACAUUUUGUCAAAGAGGGAGGGAAAGUAGAAAAGGGAGAAAAAAAAAAGCAGCCCUGCUGCCAACUCACCAUCCACCAAGUUCUGGCCGAGAUGUCGUAGCAGAGCUGCCAUUUGAUGGAGCCGUCGGAGGUUUUCCCUGCCAUUAUGCUGUCAGCAAGCUUCAUCUGAUGCUAACUCACGGGAGAUAAGACACCUAAUUGAGAAAACAUUUGCACUGGCAUGUUGGGCAACAUGUAGCCCGGUCCAUACCAUAUGGAAUCAUGGGUAAAAAAAAAAAAUCUCCUUGACAAUGAACCAAUCUCUCACAGACCCAGUGGCAAGGUGACAACCACCAAACUCACCGAGGAUUGUUUUUUCUUCAUGCAAAACUUCUCUGCAACACUCAAAAUUUACAUGAGGAAUUGACAGAUAACUUGGGAAGAGACAACUCCAAAACAACAAAUUUUGAAAAGUUAUGAAAUUCUGUUGCUGCCUAAUAUUAAAAUCCAUUUCCUGGAUAGCAAAGUCAAAGAUCGUAAUAGAUUUUUUGCCAAUUUCCCACUUCUUCUGGAGCACUGCAAGCCCAACAGAAGUAUUACGUUUAUGACAGCUGACUAUUAAGCAGGCAGUGAAUGCUUUCCAUUUAAAUCACCCUGCUGUGUCACACGGAGUGACAGUUGCUGGGCUGUGACCACCACCCCUCACUGACAGGGCACUCCAGCCUAUACAGUAGUGCCUUUCCUCAAGAGCUCAGAAAAAUGAACUUCUGAACUGGCAAACGGACUCUUGCCAGGAAUAUUUCUUAGGGCUGUGGAUCUAUGGCUAAUACAUCUUGCUCACUCAGAAACAGCUACACCCUGCAAAUCUUUUUGUGAUUUGGAUGCAAGAGGAAAAUGUAUCAAAACCAUCCACUUGAUUUUAAACAAUAUCCUUUUCUGUUUGUAUCAAAAAAGGGAGCUCGUGGGCACACUAUUCUUCCUUGGAUUGUUUUGUGUACUAACUGUUGUUUAACUGUUUGGCUACAGUAAAAUGAUCAUUCUGGGCUGCACAGAUUACAGAACUGCUAUUCAGUGCAGGACAGGACAAACUUUCAUUGAGUUUCAAUAAUACCUUCACGUUUCUGAGAUGUGUGAGAGGAUAAGCAAAUGAUUUAGGGUAGGUACAAACUGCUAAUGUAACAUGUAGGGACUAGGGGUUUGGGUUUAUUUUCCUCAGCCUUGCAAUCUGUUUAGACUACAUGAAAAAUACAUUAAUGAAUGAUCUAUGCAACUACUCAGCACACCAGUUUGCACUUUUAGCUUCAGAUAGCAGGUAUAAUCCCACUGCAGUUUACAGGAAAGGGUCUGACUAGCAUGGGAAGUGUUAAGUUUUAUUUUGAGUCCAGAAAGAAAAAGAUGGACACUGUGCCAGGAACUGUCUUUGCUCUGGCUAGGCAAAGUAUUCGUCAUCUUCUGUUACUGCAGGUUUGUUACCUGUCCUUUCAGUGGGUCGCAGAUUAUUGAAAAAGCCUCCCUCCAAAUAAUCACACAAAAUAUAAAGUAAAACGCUCGGUAACAAUCCUCAGUAACAGUCCUUGAAUCAGUGUCAGAUUCAAUUCUGUGCUGCUCUCCUGCUCCUACCUCUCAAACCCAUCAACAUACCCACCCGGCUUAUUAUUUAUUUAGUAUUUCAUGCCCAGUUGUGCUGCACAUCAUUCCAGACAUGUUCUGAUAAAUCUCUAUUCUAUAUGGACUUUCAGCACCUGGUGUAGUUACAGAGCUACUGACAAACUUUUUCUGCAUUGCUCUAUUAACCACUUCUUCCUAUAACAAUAUAUGACUUUACCUCCCACUAAUAAUUAUAAACACACCAACUAAGUAUUUUUUUACAUAAUACACUUUUCAGAUUAUGAAUGACAGAAGCAUGAAACCAUUUCCUUCCUGACAGUGGAGUGGUUAUGUGCAAAGAAAUGAGGAGUGCUGUUGGUUAACAGCAUUUUAAAUUCAGAACAAUUAGGUGCAGUUAACUUUGCCAUUGUUCUUUCUGAUGCUGGGUAUGGUGAGUUCUUACCCGUAGAGCAAUUACUCCUUUCAUAAGCGGCUGUUGUUAAUAGCAUUAAAACAAGAUUAAAUACAACAUGUUAAAUAUUGCAAUUAUUGUGGAAAAUAAAAUUAUUUGGUGAGCAUAAUGGGGAGCAAAUCAAGCAUUUAACAUGAUCCAGGAAAUGCUGCUCCAAACAAUUGCAUUUGUUUUAUGCAAUUUUUCCCCUUUGAUUGCUGACAGAUGCCGUUUUGGAAACAAACAUCUAAGUAGUUUUCCUUCAAUCAGGAAAAAAAACCACACACCAGAAAAUGGCUACAUGUUUUGAAUUUAACUCUUGUCAAUCAGCAUUCUGUACAACACUCCCUGUGAAUAGUACUGGGACAAAACGAUGCCUUCCAAAGACUAAUAAGCCACAAAGAUGUUUGCUUCUAAAUCAGAUCUGUUCUGAAGAUGGGAAAAGCCUUCGUGCAGCAUCGACAUUUGUGCAGACACAGCUGCAAAAUAAAAAUGCUUGCAAUACAGGAGUGAUAUUUCACAUUGAAAAUAAGUUAGGUGUGUAUGCUUGUGGGCUACAGGAGAAGAGAUUUGUUUUCUGACAGCUUCAGGCCUCAAGCAAUGGAUUGAAGCACUUGCCAGUUUCUUUCUGACUUCCUGCUGAAGAAGUAGCCAACUACCCACAAAUAAUUGGCUUAAUUGUUGAGCAGAAGUACCUGCAACAGUUCAAAUAGUGUGAGUGGGCCCCUCUACCUCCCCUCAGAAGCACAUUUGGAUGGGGAUACUGUAUAUGGAACCAGGAACAAAUGCUAAAAAAGGCUAAUAAAGUAUAUUAAUUCAGAUGACUGUAUCAAGCUGGCAUUUUACAGUCUACUGGAAACCAAAUGCAUGAGAGCAUUAGAAAUGUUGGCAUAGCGGGUGGUUUCUCCAAAUGUUGGCUUCUGCUAUUCAGAUUGGUAAAAGAAAUGUGGUAGAACUGUGUGCAUCUCCCAGCGCCAGACACAUCUUUAGGAUCUUAGUCCUCAUUACUAGAUUAUCUAUUAAUUGCACAGCACCCAUUGCUCAUUAACCUUCUCUUUAUUCCCUUUGCCUCCCCCUAUUUCUCCAGUUGCAAUUGCUCAGAACCUUUUCAGCUGAUUGCACCAGUGUGAUUUUAGAUCUGUUCCUAAUUUGAGAGGCGUUUUCCUUGGGAAGCCUGAACUUAGAUGAGUUACGAAGAGGAUUUCCUUAUCUCGAACAGCGACAAUUAGUUCAAGUGCCACGUGAGAGCAGGCAGUUGAUUUUUGGACAGCCUCUGAACUGAUGCAAAGUUGCUGACAACGAGUGUGUUCUAGCUUUUGGAAAUCCUAUAAUCCUGGCUUCAAUCAAGAGGAUCUGCUGUUGCUGAAGGCGUAAACAAGGAGAGAAGCAGCAUGUGACCACGGCUGCUGCACCUUCAAGGUCUCCCAAGCCAAAAUGAGUGCAAUGGUAAAGUUUCUACUGGUUGCUCAAUGUUACACACAUAUUUCAGAUGAUAUUUCUGAACCCAGGGAAAAUAGUCCUUUCCCCUCUGCAGGAAAAGUUGUUUUUGGACUCUGCAUUUCCCCCUGUAGCUCUGUUUUGUGUGUUCCUCCCCACUCCCUUCUCACUCCUCUGAUUUUCUUCCUACCAUCUGUAUUCCCCUUUUGCCUCAUCUGAAACAAGCAUCAAGAUCUUGUUUCUGACAGAACGGUCUGUCAAUAUGGAAACACACUGACAUCACAGACAGUGCUGUGACUUCAUGUCUGAAAGAAACAGGAGGAACAGAUGAAAGGAGUGAAGGGGAAGGAAUGACACAUACAAACAUUUUUAAAAAAUAAGUAAAAAUUCUUCUCUAUCAACCCAAAAUGUAAAGGAACAUAAACCAGAUUUAUUUUUAAGUCUAAAUAUAACCCAGUAUUUCUUAAUCUGUGACCGUAACUCAGUACAACAUUUCAACAUGCUCUUCACCUAAGAGAGGUCCCUGUCCCCCAGGAGCACAUGCUUGGUGGGCUCAAGGCCCAUGUGACAGCCAACAUGACCUCAAGAAGGACUGAACAGGGACUAAUCUGGGAAAAAGUUAAUAUCAUGCAUGUAUUGGAAGAAAUCUUCAGAAACAAGGGACUAAUCUAUACCAUCUAAGUAAAUGCAAAUUCAUAGAAUAAUAGAUAAAAGCAUUCAUCAAAAUCACAAACUCUAUUUGGAUGCAGCUGGAUCAAAGAUAUCACUACCUGCUGGGGUGGGGAUACAGGACAUACCCAGAAAAUACUGAGCACACAAGGGUGGAAUAUCACCUUACUAUUACUGUGUUUUUUCUUCCUAGUAUGAAAUAUUAACAAAAGUGUCUAACCAAUAUUUCUAUUAUUAGCAAGUUUUUUUGCAUAAGAAUUUAGGAGAAGUUAGAACCCCAUAUUUCCUUCACUAUUUGAAAUAUGUAUUUGGGCUCCAACAUUAGAGGGCAUCCAGAAGAUAUUGCUUUCCUGCCAUCUCCAGAGCCACUGGAAAAACCUCUAAUAAGGACAUUCGUAACUAGUAGGAGAGGAGCUCAAGAAAACUAAAAGGUUAAUAUAUUCUAACUAGAUGUUGGGUAUAGAAUGUCAGAUCUGUCAAAUUUCAUUACAGUUUGCUGCUCAAUGAAAAAGAUUUGAUUUCUUUUGCCACUGUCCUACUAUGUUCAAGUCACACAGUGCCAGCAGCAACCAGCCAACGACCACAGGCUGGCACUGAGCGGGCCCGAGUGGGAAGCCAGCCGCAAGGACCAUCUGUUUCCGAUUUCUAGCGAAGCCAAGAUGUGCAGUGAAGUGCAUUCCAUUCACCCAGCCAGCCUUCUCCCUGCUCAAGUUAUUAGUGUUACAAGUGAAAUUAUCUUUUCCAAACAGCGGGGGAGCUAUAAUCCUUAUGGAACAAGGCUUUAAAAAAAGGGGAAAAAAGAGAAGGGGGAAAAAAAAAAGAAAAAAGGACAGGAAAAAGGUCCCCCAACACUCCCCCCCUUCAAACAUCUUUUGUCAAAGUUGUCAAUGACACUGUUUGUAAAUUCAAUUGCCACAUUCACGGGUUUUAUAAUUUUAAAGGAUGUUCUAUUAAGAACUAUAUUCUCUAAGGGAAGAAUGUGUACGUCAGUUCAUGGGCUCUAAUGUAAUAAACCAUUCAAAUAUAUUUUGAGGGUUAUUUAUGAAUAAAGUUAAAAAUGACAAGAUGAAUGCUCAUUUAAUUCUCUCUAACAUGAAGCGCCUUCAAAAACAUCAUAGGUUUAGAAGUAUAAUUUAAAGUGCGAAUGCAUAAACAGUGCUAAUUACAUGCUACUUACAUUGUUUCAAUAUGUAAUGCAUAUGUUUAACCUCGUAGAGGAAGGAUUGGUCUUGGCACAGCAAUCGUGGGGAUUUAAGGGUAUGCUAAACUGAUAACUGUAGAAUGAGCUCUGACACAGGAUAUUGGUCUCCUACUGUUACCUAAAUGCCAGGUGAAACCAAAGGAUUUAUAGGAGGGCGGGUGGAAAGGGGAAAAAAAAAAAAGACAACACAAUGAAGUGAAACUGAGAAGUUUA